rnacentral:rRNA from 1 species
UACGGAAGGGGCAAGCGUUGUUCGGAAUCAUUGGGCGUAAAGGGCGCGUAGGCGGUCUGUUGCGUCCGCUGUGAAAACUCGGGGCUUAACCCCGAGCCUGCAGUGGAUACGGGCAGACUAGAGGUAGGUAGGGGAGAAUGGAAUUCCCGGUGUAGCGGUGAAAUGCGCAGAUAUCGGGAGGAACACCGGUGGCGAAGGCGACCAUCUGGACGGAUACUGACGCUGAGACGCGAAAGCGUGGGUAGCAAACAGG